AGACAGAUUCGCUGCAACUGGGCAACAAAGGGUGCUGGAUCUAAUGAUGACAAGCAGAGCUCAGAUGUGAAAAGCAUUGCAGAACUUACAAAUGGAUCAUCUGAAGAUGGUAAAGAAACAGUUAAUAGCGAUGCCCCCGAGAACAAUCCUCAGUACACUACUGUUUAUGUUGGCAAUCUUGCUCCAGAGGCCACACAGGUUGAUCUUCAUCGCCAUUUUCAUUCUCUUGGGGCUGGUGUGAUUGAGGAGGUCCGCAUCCAGCGUGAUAAGGGCUUUGGUUUUGUUAGAUAUAGCACUCAUGCUGAGGCAGCUUUGGCUAUUCAAAUGGGGAAUGCUCAGUCGUUUCUUUGUGGCAAACAGAUUAAGUGCUCUUGGGGAAGCAAGCCAACCCCACCUGGAACCAUCUCCAACCCGCUUCCUCCACCUGCAGCAGCUCCAAUCCCAGGACUCUCGACAACUGAUCUCUUAGCAUACGAGCGGCAACUGGCAAUGAGCAAGAUGGGGGGAGUCCAUGCCCUUAUGCACCCUCAGGUGCCACAUCCUUUAAAGCAGGCAGCCAUGGGCAUGGGUGCUGCUGGCUCGAGUCAGGCCAUCUAUGAUGGUGGCUUUCAGAACGUCGCGGCAGCUCAGCAGCUAAUGUAUUAUCAGUAAGGCUGAUGAGAGGUGUAUACAAAAUGGAGUGCUUAGUUCUAUUGAGAGAUCUCGAUCUUUUUUCUUUUUCUUUUUCCCCCCUCUUGUGGAGAGUUUCUUUCCGAGCCUUAGUAUGAUCUUUUCUUUUUAUUGUUUCAGUUUUUAAAUACCCUGGGAGCUGUGUUUAUGGAAUGUCAUUGUUUACCCGAGUAUCUGAAUUUAU
rnacentral:misc_RNA from 1 species